rnacentral:lncRNA from 1 species
ACUACAUAAAACAUAUACAUGCAACAUAUCCCCAGAUAGCUUAGAUCUGAGUGCACAUUAUUAUUGAAUGGCGCUCAGAUCACAUACAUACAAUUCAAUUGCCAUGGAGCCAAAGUCUUUUCCAUAGUCUUUCGUUCCAUGAAUUGGCUCCAUGGCAUAGCUAUCUGGGGUAGCACUACUCACAUACUGGAAGUCCCGAACAACCCGGC